GAUGAACGCUGGCGGCGUGCCUAAUACAUGCAAGUCGAGCGAACGGACGAGAAGCUUGCUUCUCUGAUGUUAGCGGCGGACGGGUGAGUAACACGUGGAUAACCUACCUAUAAGACUGGGAUAACUUCGGGAAACCGGAGCUAAUACCGGAUAAUAUUUUGAACCGCAUGGUUCAAAAGUGAAAGACGGUCUUGCUGUCACUUAUAGAUGGAUCCGCGCUGCAUUAGCUAGUUGGUAAGGUAACGGCUUACCAAGGCAACGAUGCAUAGCCGACCUGAGAGGGUGAUCGGCCACACUGGAACCGAGACACGGUCCAGACUCCUACGGGAGGCAGCAGUAGGGAAUCUUCCGCAGUGGGCGAAAGCCUGACGGAGCAACGCCGCGUGAGUGAUGAAGGUCUUCGGAUCGUAAAACUCUGUUAUUAGGGAAGAACAUAUGUGUAAGUAACUGUGCACAUCUUGACGGUACCUAAUCAGAAAGCCACGGCUAACUACGUGCCAGCAGCCGCGGUAAUACGUAGGUGGCAAGCGUUAUCCGGAAUUAUUGGGCGUAAAGCGCGCGUAGGCGGUUUUUUAAGUCUGAUGUGAAAGCCCACGGCUCAACCGUGGAGGGUCAUUGGAAACUGGAAAACUUGAGUGCAGAAGAGGAAAGUGGAAUUCCAUGUGUAGCGGUGAAAUGCGCAGAGAUAUGGAGGAACACCAGUGGCGAAGGCGACUUUCUGGUCUGUAACUGACGCUGAUGUGCGAAAGCGUGGGGAUCAAACAGGAUUAGAUACCCUGGUAGUCCACGCCGUAAACGAUGAGUGCUAAGUGUUAGGGGGUUUCCGCCCCUUAGUGCUGCAGCUAACGCAUUAAGCACUCCGCCUGGGGAGUACGACCGCAAGGUUGAAACUCAAAGGAAUUGACGGGGACCCGCACAAGCGGUGGAGCAUGUGGUUUAAUUCGAAGCAACGCGAAGAACCUUACCAAAUCUUGACAUCCUUUGACAACUCUAGAGAUAGAGCCUUCCCCUUCGGGGGACAAAGUGACAGGUGGUGCAUGGUUGUCGUCAGCCCGUGUCGUGAGAUGUUGGGUUAAGUCCCGCAACGAGCGCAACCCUUAAGCUUAGUUGCCAUCAUUAAGUUGGGCACUCUAAGUUGACUGCCGGUGACAAACCGGAGGAAGGUGGGGAUGACGUCAAAUCAUCAUGCCCCUUAUGAUUUGGGCUACACACGUGCUGCAAUGGACAAUACAAAGGGCAGCGAAACCGCGAGGUCAAGCAAAUCCCAUAAAGUUGUUCUCAGUUCGGAUUGUAGUCUGCAACUCGACUACAUGAAGCUGGAAUCGCUAGUAAUCGUAGAUCAGCAUGCUACGGUGAAUACGUUCCCGGGUCU
rnacentral:rRNA from 1 species